CCCAAGAACGUCACAAUAGCAUGAAAACUGAACAGGAUGGUUCUGUUUAAUGCUCUUUUGUUGUUGAUGACUCAGCACCCUAACCUGUUCAGUCACUCCUACAGUCAGAACAGGGGAGCAAGGCCCGCUCAGUAUUUUCCUGUUCAUCCGCUGUUGUGUUUUUAAGCAUAAUGAACUCAGUUAACUAAACACAUUGCCAAGUUCUAUUUGACGUUAGCAAACAGGUUAGCACUGCGGCAUUUUUUUGAUAUGGACAAUGUGAAUUCUCAAGAUUGGAGAGCUGUUUCCUGGUGGGGAAAAUCACCUGUUGUCCCUCAGCAAAGACACAUAAUAAUAGUUUUGGUUUCUCUUUGUCUCCUCUUCAAGAGUUCAAAAGUUUCUCCUAUAUUUUAUCUCGGUCAUCUCUAUAGGUUUGUUGUGAAGGCAGAAGAGUUGUUAUCAUCCUUGUUUUGGAGAAGGAAAAACUAAGCCUUUCUGCAGGGAGUGGGGCUGGAGGUGAUUUUCUGAACCAGAGUCUAUCAAAGUCUAUCAAAGCUAAAGAACCUCGUGUUCUCAUAUUCUUGCAAUUAAAUGGGCCCUUGACUGAUAAUGGCUAAUGGACUCUGAGUGGAAGUGAUGUAUGUCAUUUUUGGCCCAAGUGUUUAAAAGUGAAGGAAACAGCUUCCUGUGUAUUGCUGGCCCCAAAUAUCCAGCAGAAGAGCAGAAGAGCCUCCGUCCUUGAAGUGACCAAUUACCUGCUUCCAGUGAUGGCUUCCUCCAUUCGAUUUUUUUGCCAAGACUCCAGGCCACAGCAUCACUUAUGAUUCCCAGGAUGUAACAUACUGUCAAAGGUCCUCCACCAGUCUCUUGACUACUCACCAUGUUUUUCCCAAUAAAGCAUUUUAUUGCUUUAUCAAUGAUCAAGUCCAUAUAAGAGAGAGCACUGCAUUCUGAUAUGGACAAUGUGGGGAUUUGAGAGCUGCAGAAAGGGAAAUGGAGGAAGAAGACAAACUACCAAAGGGAAAUGUCCAGGAUGGGAUGCUCAAUAAACUGGGUUUUUUUUCCCCCUCAUCUUCUGGAGUGAUCCAAAGAAGAGGAGAAAUUCAAAGAACCUACCACUUGUUACCAUUCAUGGACACUCCAGUUUCCCCAUUUCAUGAUAAUUUCACAUACAAAUGUGUUAGGAAGCCAACAAGCCAAAGUCAACAGCUAGAAUGAGAAACUCAGAAUUUAAGAUGGCAGGACCCAGAGAUACCACCUUCAUUUCAUGUGGAGAGCGAAGGGUUGAAACAACCCUGAAAGACUCCUAAGCCCCUUGAGAUUCUUGAGUCAGAUAAGAACAUAAUGAGCCAGGAUAUGAAACUGGUACAAAAACAAGGAUGUUGACUUUUAAAGAAAACAACGAAUAUAGAAAGGAUUUGAAUGUCUGCUGGACAAGAAAGUAACAUUCCUGGAAUUGUAAAGAUAUAUUUGACCUUUUCUCUGUAAAAAUAAUUAGUCACGAGAUCAUGAGGGGAGGAAGGGAGGGAGGCUGUGGGUAAUGAAGGAGGAUAUAUAAGAGGCUCAAUAAAGUGGGAAGGAGAAGGCCCUCGCUCUCUCUCCUUUUCUUUUCUCCCGAGUUUGUGUUGUUUUUCUUAAUCCUCACCCCUCUCCUCAGGUACUGUUUGACUAGUGACGGCUCGCUCCGUCACAAGUGGCGCCCGAACAGGGACCUGAGAAUUGAGGACAAGGUGAAGGACACCGCUGGAUUGUGAGCUCAGACAA
rnacentral:lncRNA from 1 species